GCCAAUGCCAAUAUUGUACCCAAUGCCCUGUCGUAUGCUAUUUCAAAUGCUCCUAUGCAAAAGGAGGUUAUCUGGUACCUCGCCAGACAAACAAAAUCCGCCCCAGAUUUUAACACCAUGAGCUGCCUUAUUCUAGCCGGCCAUUUGGACAUAGGCUUGUUUUUAGCUCGCAAAUACCCUGAAGAAGUGACAUCCAAAGAUAACAUAAACCGUAGCUUGUUGGGAGACUUGGCGAAGAUGAAGUCUUACUUCCGUAGUGGAGAUAGACUCAAUUUUUGGGAAAAAUGUAUUUACAAAUGUAUCCCUCUAUGUCUGGUCGAUACAUCAUUUGACAACCCCGAAGAUACAAAGAUAGCUCGAGGUAUUUCUAUUAAUCUACGUAAUAUCUAAAUUAAGAGACAAGGAUUACAUCUAUGUAUACAAAUUAUUAUAUAAACCAUGAUGUAUGCCACGACUAAUAUCUACUAUAACAUUUGUGAAGUUAGUUGAGAAGUCUUACUCAAUGUCAAAUUACCAAGUAGAAUUAUCAAGAAUUGUAGAUUUGGAUUUAAGGUCAUAGAGGUGGAUUGAUCCAAGUUGUUCUCUAACAAAUUUAAGCAUUAUUACAACUAGUUACACGUGAAAUCUUCAUUCAUGAGUGUCAUAUGUAUCUUUUUGUUCGCCGUCAAUUCCUAAUUUCCUAAUAUGAUUCUUCUCUCCUCUUCAUGGUGGUCCAACCAGCAUAUAAGUGGUUCAAGACAUCACUCUGGAAUCAUGCCACUAAACCAGUACCUUUCAUCAAAAGGAUUGGAGAAUCAAAGUUGAGACACAAACGCUCACUAGAGUUUGCAGAAGAACUUGUUCUGAAGAAUAAAAAUAUGAAAUCCUCGGAAAUAGUCAAGUUUUAUUGACUUCAGGCAUUAUCCUUGACUCUGCAUCUCGCGGAACCCAUGAAAUUGUCAAAUUAUGUCUUGACCAUUAUCCAGAGUUAAUGUGGGACAACGAUUUCCCAAAAGAAUUGAUGAGAGAAGUUGUGAACAGACGACAAGUUGAGUUAUUUAGACUAGUGAACGCAUACAACAGAAUUCCAAAACUGAGUGAUGACAUUUUUACAAACCGCGAACUGAUGGAGGCAGUAGUAGAAUG